AAAUUAAAGAACCUUAGUGAGCACGCUCACAUACCCCACGUCCCCACAUUGUCAUUGGAGAAAUUAAAUAAGUAUAAGAAAAGAUAUUGAAUAAUAAUUUCCUGUCAAUAUAUAUAGUAUGUCCUUAUUAUCUACAAAAUUUCAUGAAAUUAUGUUGUGUGUUUUCAGAGGAGUUGAGAUGACAAACUGUUGCAGAAGUACAUUGAAGCAAAUAAGUUCAAAGGGGCAUAACUCCUAGAAAAAAAAUUGAACCGUAAUUUCCUGUUGAUAUGCACAUCUACAUAGUAUGUCCUUAUUAUCUACAAAGUUUCAUGAAAUUCUGUUAUGUGGUUUGAGAGGAGUUGCGAUGACAAACUGUUGCAGUAGUACAUUAAAGUAAAUAAGUUCAAAGGGGCGUAACUCCUAGAAAAAAAAUUGAAUCGCAAUUUCCCGUCGAUAUGCACAACUACAUAGUAUGUCCUUAUUAUCUGAAAAGGUUUCGUGAAAUUCUGUGUGUGGUUUGAGAGGAGUUGCGAUGACAAACUGUUGCAGUAGUACAUUAAAGUAAAUAAGUUCAAAGGGGCGUAACUCCUAGAAAAAAAAUUGAAUCGCAAUUUCCCGUCGAUAUGCACAACUACAUAGUAUUUCCUUAUUAUCUGAAAAGGUUUCGUGAAAUUCUGUUGUGUGGUUUGGGAGGAGUUGCGAUGACAAACUGUUGCAGUAGUACAGUAAAGUAAAUAAGUUCAAAGGGGCGCAACUUCUAGAAAAAAAAUUGAAUCGCAAUUUCCCGUCGAUAUGCACAACUACAUAGUAUGUCCUUAUUAUCUGAAAAGGUUUCGUGAAAUUCUGUUGUGUGGUUUGAGAGGAGUUGCGAUGACAAACUGUUGCAGUAGUAC
rnacentral:lncRNA from 1 species